CCUACGGGGAGCAGCAGUGAGGAAUAUUGGUCAAUGGACGCAAGUCUGAACCAGCCAUGCCGCGUGCAGGAAGACGGCUCUAUGAGUUGUAAACUGCUUUUGUACGAGGGUAAACGCAGAUACGUGUAUCUGUCUGAAAGUAUCGUACGAAUAAGGAUCGGCUAACUCCGUGCCAGUAGCCGCGGUAAUACGGAGGAUUCAAGCGUUAUCCGGAUUUAGUGGGGUUAAAGGGUGCGUAGGCGGUCGGAUAAGUUAGAGGUGAAAUCCCGUGUCUCAACUUCGGAAUUGCCUCUGAUACGUUUCGGCUAGAGCGUAUUUGCGUUAGGCGGCAUGUCUGUUGUAGCGGU
rnacentral:rRNA from 1 species